AUGAACUUACAUAUGCAAGCUGAAAUGCUGGUGAUCGUGAAGAACAGUCCUGUGAAUGGCAUCAUCAAGCUCAUCGAACAGCAUCACAUCACAAACCAUGUCACGGGAACAUCUUCCUUCUCACCGUGUGUCCAGACCAAAUACAGCUUCGUAACAAGCAGGGCAACUUCUUAG
rnacentral:rRNA from 1 species